CCCAUUCAACAUACGCAAAAACCGUGGUGCUUUAAAUUUUAUUACUGCCAAAUUUGGCCGGAGCUUCAUUGAGCACAUUUUUUUUGGCAGGUAAAACGCCCUCUGCCUGGACAACCUCCUGUCGGCGAUCACGGUUGCGGGCGUGCAGAUGUACUCGAAUUCGGGCUCAUCGUGGGGGCGAGCGGGUUUCGCGGCGGCGCCCGUGCACAGCGUGGACCAGCGCACCACGCCAUGCUCCUCGCAGUGAGCCUCCUCCAGCUCAUCCAGGCCGGCGCCCAGUCCACCCUCAUCGGAGAGGCUCCGACGGGGCUCCAUCACUAGGCACCAGCUACUCACCAAGCCCGGACGACAGGUGAUAACGUUCCUGUUGUUCAGCAACGCGGCGCUGUGGGCGUUCGACUCGUUCAUAACGCAGAGCUGGCUAACGCAGGAGCUGCAGCUGCGCUUCAUGGGGCUCCUGGCCUGGGGCGUCGUUCGCGGAUCUCGCUGCCGCUCCUCGUCUUCUACCGAUUCCACUCGGGUGUCCUCCUCCUCGAAGUCUGGCAGAGGGCCUACAGAAGCACCAGGCUCGACCCGCACAAUUGACCCUGGCCUCGCCUGACGCCCAGGGUAAGAGGGAGAGGCGCAAAAGGACGGAAGACCUUCGGAGGGCGGCUGACGGGAUCCCGGACGGACCCCGGGACUCGACGUCGAGGGAUGGUGGGGCGGACGCGGAGCUGGAUGUACCUGGAGCCGGGACCCUGCGGCGACGCGGAGGGCGAGUACAGUCUCGUCGACGACGACCCAUGGCCGCACGCCUAUCGCCGGCGACAGAGGACGCUCAGCGUGGACAACUGGCACUGCGUCGACGGAUUCUGCUGCGACACCCCCUUCCGCAAGGCCCCCUGGCACUCCAACCUACACAUGUUCAAUUGUUCACCCUCAGAUAACUCUCUCUUAAGAAGAAUACAAAGCACCCACUUUAGUUUUUUUUUUAACUUCAGAAUGUUGCAAUGUUUUAAACUUAAUUUUUGUGCUAUUUUUGGAAUAUUAAACGUGGCAACGUAUUCUUGUUGUUCGCUCUUUAGAAAGAGACCUGGUAACACCCUGGUCAAAGCUUCAAUAAAAAAAAAACUUACCCUGGAGCUAAUUUUACUUAAUUUUUCAUUUUCUGGAUAACAGAGCACUAACUGUUUGCUCUCUGCGAGCAACGGUAAAUAAAUAUUGAAGAAAGUGCUUCAUUUCGAUAAAUUUCUCCCUUUCGAGUCAAGAAAUUCCGGAUCUUGUGCCUGUUAUCAUUUCUUAAUCGUGUGAAAACAGCAUAGGUUUCCUUUUAAAACAGACUAGAAAAUCAACAUGCUCUCUCCGAAGGAAAUAGCGCCCUCUCUGCUUGUUAUCAUAGUGUGGAUUUAAUAUUGUAAAUUUUUUUAUUAUGUUUAGUCAAAAUUUCAUGCUGUGCUUUUUUAAUCGCAAUUCAGUUUCAACUCUUUGCCCUUCAUUUUUUAUUUUAAAUGCUUGAUUUGUAGCUUGAUCGGUUUGUGAUAAAAACCGAGAAUAUGAUUGAAAUUGCUCCAACAGUUCAUCAUAUCAUGGCCCUAAGCUAUUAAACAUUUUGAUCAGCUCUUGCGGGAACAACGAUUCGAUAUUUUCAACCAAACUUGAUUGCAUCCGCACACAUCUAAUUCUAAAUAGCCGUAUUUCUUCGGUCUGGAGAGGAAUGCAUACAAUUGGACAUAAUGUCCCCAAAACAUACUUAAGUGUUGAUAUGUUAACAUCCAUCCAAAUGACUUUCAUGUCUUACAAUGAUGCAUCUAUGCCCUCUCUUCGAAAAGAUCAAAAUGUUUGUAUAGCGAACUUAUUUUCCGAUCUUAAAUCGUAGUGUCAAUUUUUAGCCUUUUAACUAAAUUAUUUCGGCAAAGCAUGAGUUUAAGUUACUGUUCCUUAAAUAGGAUUAAAAUUGUGUCCUUCAUUGACCAAGUGCAAUGCGAACUAUUUAUUAAACUGUACAUAUCUGAUUUUACCCUGACUUGUAUGUAACACUUGUCUCUAUUUUUAAGUAUUAUUUCCAACUUGGUAGCUAUUAUUGUUAUCGCAUGUUAAUGCUUGUAGCAUAAAUUUAACUGAGAUUUUGACAUUAAAUUAAUUUAUUUUUUCCCCGGUUGUUCAUCUCUCCUUUUUUCUUUUUUUCCUUUUUUUGAAGAAAUAAAAGUAUGCUCUAAUCAAAGUCAAAUUCGUAUGUGUAUCGAGAAAUAGUUAGUUAGUUAAUUUAUUCAAGGACAUUCAGCAUCUUAGGCUAUUAACGUCUUUUCAAAGAAUCUAGCAGAUGG
rnacentral:lncRNA from 1 species